AUUGAACGCUGGCGGCAGGCCUCACACAUGCAAGUCGAGCGGAGCGGCGGACGGGUGAGUAAUGCCUAGGAAUCUGCCUGGUAGUGGGGGAUAACGUCCGGAAACGGGCGCUAAUACCGCAUACUAUCAGAUGAGCCUAGGUCGGAUUAGCUAGUUGGUGGGGUAAAGGCCUGGCAAGGCGACGAUCCGUAACUGGUCUGAGAGGAUGGUCAGUCACACUGGAACUGAGAAACGUGCCAGGCUCCUACGGGAGGCAGCAGUGGGGAAUAUUGGCCAAUGGGCGGAAGCCUGAUCCAGCCAUGCCGCGUGUGUGAAGAAGGUCUUCGGAGUGUAAAGCACGUUAAGUUGGGAGGCGUGACCAACAGAAUAAGCACCGGCUAACUUCGUGCCAGCAGCCGCGGUAAUAC
rnacentral:rRNA from 1 species